rnacentral:rRNA from 1 species
AGAGUUUGAUCAUGGCUCAGAUUGAACGCUGGCGGCAGGCCUAACACAUGCAAGUCGAGCGGUAGCACAGAGAGCUUGCUCUCGGGUGACGAGCGGCGGACGGGUGAGUAAUGUCUGGGAAACUGCCUGAUGGAGGGGGAUAACUACUGGAAACGGUAGCUAAUACCGCAUAACGUCGCAAGACCAAAGUGGGGGACCUUCAGGCCUCAUGCCAUCAGAUGUGCCCAGAUGGGAUUAGCUAGUAGGUGGGGUAACGGCUCACCUAGGCGACGAUCCCUAGCUGGUCUGAGAGGAUGACCAGCCACACUGGAACUGAGACACGGUCCAGACUCCUACGGGAGGCAGCAGUGGGGAAUAUUGCACAAUGGGCGCAAGCCUGAUGCAGCCAUGCCGCGUGUAUGAAGAAGGCCUUCGGGUUGUAAAGUACUUUCAGCGGGGAGGAAGGCGAUAAGGUUAAUAACCUUGUCGAUUGACGUUACCCGCAGAAGAAGCACCGGCUAACUCCGUGCCAGCAGCCGCGGUAAUACGGAGGGUGCAAGCGUUAAUCGGAAUUACUGGGCGUAAAGCGCACGCAGGCGGUCUGUCAAGUCGGAUGUGAAAUCCCCGGGCUCAACCUGGGAACUGCAUUCGAAACUGGCAGGCUAGAGUCUUGUAGAGGGGGGUAGAAUUCCAGGUGUAGCGGUGAAAUGCGUAGAGAUCUGGAGGAAUACCGGUGGCGAAGGCGGCCCCCUGGACAAAGACUGACGCUCAGGUGCGAAAGCGUGGGGAGCAAACAGGAUUAGAUACCCUGGUAGUCCACGCCGUAAACGAUGUCGAUUUGGAGGUUGUGCCCUUGAGGCGUGGCUUCCGGAGCUAACGCGUUAAAUCGACCGCCUGGGGAGUACGGCCGCAAGGUUAAAACUCAAAUGAAUUGACGGGGGCCCGCACAAGCGGUGGAGCAUGUGGUUUAAUUCGAUGCAACGCGAAGAACCUUACCUGGUCUUGACAUCCACAGAACUUNNNNNNNNNNNNNNNNNNNNNNNNNNNNNNNNNNNNNNNNNNNNNNNNNNNNNNNNNGUCGUAGUCCGGAUUGGAGUCUGCAACUCGACUCCAUGAAGUCGGAAUCGCUAGUAAUCGUAGAUCAGAAUGCUACGGUGAAUACGUUCCCGGGCCUUGUACACACCGCCCGUCACACCAUGGGAGUGGGUUGCAAAAGAAGUAGGUAGCUUAACCUUCGGGAGGGCGCUUACCACUUUGUGAUUCAUGACUGGGGUGAAGUCGUAACAAGGUAACCGUAGGGGAACCUGCGGUUGGAUCACCU